GGUGAGAUGGCCGAGUGGUUAUGGCGCUGCGUUCAGGUUAACCUGAAUUAAAACUUCGCAGUGGAGCAAUCCGCGUGGGUUCGAGUCCCACUCUCAUCA
rnacentral:tRNA from 1 species